UAUACCCAAUACUACCCCCUUACUUUUGUUUUUUUCCCUUUGCUUUCUUGGAUUCUUAUCUGCCCCAGAGCCAGUCCACAGUAGGAUAUGACAGGGGAGUAGGAGAGAGGAAUAGUAUUAGAAGGGAGAACACAUGUCUGCUUUUCUUUUUAAAAUGUAGCAUCUAACUUUUUAAAGAAAGAAGAGUACAGAGUAGUGUCUUUUUUAGUCUCAAUGUGCUUUUCCACAUUUUUAGUCUUAUCUGUUACAAACACCUCAAAAAAGGUUUAGGGAAAAAAGAAUUCUAUUUCAGAGUGAAUCGGUGAGGAGAGAAACCCUGGCCAGAAAUAGGUAAGAGCAUUGGGGAAAAGUACAUCAAUCCUAGAGGCCCAGAAAAUAAAAGGAGUGUCUAGCAUGUCAGAUCUGGAAUUGGAAAUAACCUGGAGCAGAGAUGACAUUUCUUGUGGGCUUGGGUUUCUGAAAUAUAUGUUCUCUAAUCCUUUCCCAAAGUCCUUAGAGUCCUUACUCUAAAAUACCCUCUUAGCUCUACUAGAGCAUGCCUGGCCUAAGAACCACUACCAAGUGCUUGGAUUGCCAUUCAACUUUUAUAUAAGUGUGAGAAACCGGAGCUCCCAUUUCUACCAUAGCAGGAACAAAGGUAUUUCUAGCACACUAAAUUGGGAUUACAGAAUUCAUUGUCCUAUAAGGUAUUUUUACCAGCACAGUAACUGCUCAGGUAACUUUAUGGCUUUUUUAAGUUGUCCUAAAGAUCUAAACACUUGUAAUUAUAACAUUUUUUAAUGAGGAAAUGUUGCUAAGUUCAAAAAAAGCAACAUGUUACAAACAAUAAUGUUAUAAUUCAAUAGCUGGUUGAAACCAGCAUAUACAUUUUAUUUCUAUUGCCUUUUUAAAAUAUUUUUAAGAGCUGUAGAUAUGCUCCUUUAAAAAAAAAGGCAAAGAUUUAUAUAAGAAUAUAUCAAUGUCACUUAAUUAUCAAAAACUUAGAUCACUAAUACUACUACUAUUCCUAAAGAUGGCACUAACUAAACUUAAAAUCAUAGAAGACCUCAAUCAUUUAAAAACCUAUCUUCUCUUUAAUAUAUCCCCUUAUCUUCUGCAUAUUCCUACCAGCUAAUAUGAUUCUGUUUUACUUUCAGCAGAUUAAAUUAUAAGAACAAGUCAUUACUGAUUAUGCUUUUUCAACUAAACUGACCAAAUUCCUCUGAAAUAUUGAUAUGCCUUCCAUCCACCAUUUCCAGAGAACUGCUCCUCCCCUCUUCAACCUUUGAGAAUCACUGGUUUACUAUGACUGAGAGAGGACAUUAAAAUGCUCAGUGUUUGAGAUGAUCUUUUUUCCUGAUUCUGUCAUCCUUCUUGAACUGAAGACAGAGACAAACACAGAACCCUGUGGCUCGCCAUUAGAAUCUCCCUCAAGAACAUUCCCAAGCCAAUGACUGCUUUUGCUACUAACUCAUUAGCUACAAAUGCAUUUAAAUUUUAUUUUAACCAGUUCACAUUUCAGUAUCUUAUAUAAAACUGAGUUAUACUAUGCACAUUAGCACUUGAUGUAUCAGUGCUGCUAACCGUAUCAAAAAAGAAACCAAGGUAUUUAACAUAAUUUAUCCUAAUAAACUAGUGGUAUUUUUUC